ACGCUUUGGCAGCACAUAUACUAAAAACAGGAAUGAUACAGAGAAGAGCAGCAUGGCCCCCCUCAAGGAUAACAUGCAACUUUGUUAACAGUUACAUAUUUUU